UACGUAGGGUGCGAGCGUUGUCCGGAAUUAUUGGGCGUAAAGAGCUUGUAGGUGGUUUGUCGCGUCUGCUGUGAAAAUCCGGGGCUCAACCCCGGACUUGCAGUGGGUACGGGCAGACUAGAGUGUGGUAGGGGAGACUGGAAGUUCCUGGUGUAGCGGUGAAAUGCGCAGAUAUCAGGAGGAACACCGAUGGCGAAGGCAGGUCUCUGGGCCACUACUGACGCUGAGAAGCGAAAGCGUGGGGAGCGAACAGG
rnacentral:rRNA from 1 species